UUUCUAGGUUUCUCUUCAUUGGCGCAUAAAUCUUUCACCAUUUAUGAAAGAUUUCCAUGGAGAGGAAUGUUAAUGAGUUCAACUUAUUUUUGUAGGCUAUGCUCUGGCAGAGCU